rnacentral:rRNA from 1 species
GACGAACGCUGGCGGCGUGCCUAAUACAUGCAAGUCGAACGCAUUUUCUUUCACCGUAGCUUGCUACACCGAAAGAAAAUGAGUGGCGAACGGGUGAGUAACACGUGGGUAACCUGCCCAUCAGCGGGGGAUAACACUUGGAAACAGGUGCUAAUACCGCAUAAUUCCAUUUACUGCAUGGUAGAUGGAUGAAAGGCGCUUUUGCGUCCCUGAUGGAUGGACCCGCGGUGCAUUAGCUAGUUGGUGGGGUAACGGCCUACCAAGGCUGCGAUGCAUAGCCGACCUGAGAGGGUGAUCGGCCACACUGGGACUGAGACACGGCCCAGACUCCUACGGGAGGCAGCAGUAGGGAAUCUUCGGCAAUGGACGCAAGUCUGACCGAGCAACGCCGCGUGAGUGAAGAAGGUUUUCGGAUCGUAAAACUCUGUUGUUAGAAAAGAACAAGGAUGAGAGUGGAAAGUUCAUCCCUUGACGGUAUCUAACCAGAAAGCCACGGCUAACUACGUG